UACAGAAGGAGGAAGUACGGGGAGAGAAAGAAAGCGAGACGAUCACACGACACAAACCGGAUUCGUAUGCGAUGGAAUUGUCGGAAUGAAAAUGGACAGGUUCAUCGUAUGAUGAAAGAAUGAGGAAAACAACAGAUGCCAAAAUGUAUUUGAAUCUCGAAUUUUGAGCAGAGGGUGAUCUCAAACAAUUGACUCGACUAACUGAUGAGGAAUUAGGAAACAAAAUCGAUUCUGUCCGUCCGUUCACUAAAUACAAGAACAAUCAGGAACAGAAUGGACCAGAGACUUGAAAUUUUCAGGAUAUCCGGAUAUCUAUUUCGAUGGCUAUAAAAGGAGGGCAUCAAGGACCAUCGGAAGAAAUUAUAAUAAUAAUAAUAAUAAUAUGAUGGUUUAUUCUGAAUGUAUUAUAUUAUUAAACUGUGCUCAUUGUAAAAACGAAUUGAA